AUCCUUUUGCAAGGGCAGGUGUACAAGACAGUGAGGUCCUUACCGAGUCUGUACUAUUUGCUUGGUCGAGAACAACCAACCAUAACGUGCCCUCUGUCCUUUGUGACGUUGGCCACUUUUUUCCUCACCACUAUCAUCCGCUCGACUCCCGCACUUCGGU
rnacentral:snRNA from 1 species